rnacentral:rRNA from 1 species
UACAGAGGAGCCAAGCGUUGUCCGGAUUGACUGGGCGUAAAGCGCACGCAGGCGGUUGCGCGCGUGGGGUGUGAAAUCUGGCCGCUUAACGGCCAGGCGCCAUCCCAUACGGCGCGACUGGAGUGAUGCAGAGGUCGAUGGAAUUGCCGGUGUAGUGGUGAAAUGCGUAGAGAUCCGGAGGAACACCAGUGGCGAAGGCGACACGCUGGGCCGUACCUGACACUGAUGCGCGACAGCAUGGGGAGCAAACAGG